GCAUUGUGGUUGUAACUACACGUUGAAU
rnacentral:piRNA from 1 species